GCGGCGGGCCCGGAUCUUCGCCACCGCUGUCAUUUGUGGGAGGAGAAAGGGCUGGAGAAAGGCGGGGAUCGUCCCUCGUCCCUCGCCUUGCGUUUCCCUGCACUUAAGGGCCGAAGGGACACUGGAGACUUGACCUCCUGGUAUUGGCCUGCACCGUCACUUCCAGAGGCUUUCCGCCUCAGUUCCUUCCCAGCACCUCCCCCCCCCACCAAAGUAAAUAGUUGACAGUUUACUUUUCCACCACCCGGAAGAAGUUCACUUUUACUUCAGGUCAAAAUCCUCCGGGAUUUCUGAGAGGAACUUUAAAUCUCUAACAUAAGAGCACGCUUUUAAUGUAAUUUGAUUCCAGGGGGAGGCUCCUCCGUGCUCCUGAGAGGCCGAACACGGGGUUCCCAGCACAGCUUACUGCUCAG
rnacentral:lncRNA from 1 species